AUGACUCUCGGCAACGGAUAUCUCGGCUCACGCAUCGAUGAAGAACGUAGCAAAAUGCGAUACUUGGUGUGAAUUGCAGAAUCCCGUGAACCAUCGAGUUUUUGAACGCAAGUUGCGCCCGAAGCCAUUUGGUUGAGGGCACGUCUGCCUGGGCGUCACGU
rnacentral:rRNA from 1 species